rnacentral:rRNA from 1 species
UACGAAGGGGGCUAGCGUUGCUCGGAAUCACUGGGCGUAAAGCGCACGUAGGCGGCCUACUAAGUCAGGGGUGAAAUCCUGGAGCUCAACUCCAGAACUGCCUUUGAUACUGGUGGGCUUGAGUCCGGGAGAGGUGAGUGGAACUGCGAGUGUAGAGGUGAAAUUCGUAGAUAUUCGCAAGAACACCAGUGGCGAAGGCGGCUCACUGGCCCGGUACUGACGCUGAGGUGCGAAAGCGUGGGGAGCAAACAGG